UGCGUUUACACGCCAGAGGCCGGUUUCAAAGGUAGUACAUUUCUGAACAUGGAUAGAAUGAAAUAAAGAUCCAACUCCGCGCACACUGUCAGACUGAGUGGGGAGAUGCGCCUGGAUAUAGACAAGUGAACACUGCAUGUGCAGGGUGUGAAGAGAUUGAAAAUGGACGACAAACCUUUUGCAAAGCUUAUGGAUCCUGGAACACAGCACCACCUAUGUGUCUGAGUCUGCGGCUAAAUGAAGGAGCCCUGGGGAUUUUGGAGUCGUAACGCUGAAGAAGAACAACAUGUCGGUGACUCAUGGGUCAAAGACCAAUUUGCUUUCGAAUCAAAGAACAUCUGAAGAUUACAUGGAUGACAAGCACAGACGAGGAUGGAAAUACACCCGAUGAACAUGGACGAUGAAGACGGCUGAAACAGUCGACUAAAG